CUGACUUUGAGUGGGAAAAUUCUGAGCUGCUUCAUGCAGAGCGUGGUUUACGUUCUCCAGGUGUUGAAAGCAGCUGCCAGGCUUCAAAGGCUGAUUAUGGGCUCCCUGUGCACAGGUUGUAUGCCAGUGUGUUCAGUCUUUGGAGAUGACAUAAGAUUGUUGCUGCUGUUGACAAAUCUUUUCCUUUGGGUAUUUCAACAACAGUCAACAAGUUUCUUCGCAAUUGCUCUCUGCAGCUCACAGUCCUGGACAUCAUCUCCUUCAGUAAUGCAUAUGAACUUGGAUAUGAGGAACAGUGUUUUGGUAUUACAAUCCCUGCUCACCUGGACGAGAGCCCAGGACAAAGAAAGAAGAGGAAGGGGAUCUGCGCUGCUCUUUGGAGACAGACCACCAUCCACCUACCAACCUGAAGAGGCAUUUAAAACUCUAGGAUCAUCUCAUCUAUAGCAAGCGUGGAAAACCAAAACAAAAGCAUAACAAAACAAAAUAAAAUAGCCAUCCCUUUGACAA